UACGUAGGGUGCAAGCGUUAUCCGGAUUUACUGGGCGUAAAGGGUUUCGCAGGCGGAUAAACACGUAUCGGGUUAAAGCCCAGGGCUCAACUCUGGAACCGCUCGGUAUACGGUUUAUCUCGAGUUUGUUCGGGGAGAUUGGAAUUCUCAGUGGAGGGGUGAAAUCCGUUGAUAUUGAGAGGAACACCAAGGGCGAAAGCAGAUCUCUAGGACAUAACUGACGCUCAUGAACGAAAGCUAGGGUAGCAAACCGG
rnacentral:misc_RNA from 1 species